rnacentral:rRNA from 1 species
AUGCAGGGCUUUGGACAAUGGCUUCCUCAAUCGCAGAGUGCAGCCGAUCUUUAUUUCUCAAGUAUUAUGUCAUCUCAGUUGGACACUUCCAUAGAGAUGCAGACUAGAAAUACUGCAGUUGCAGUGUUGGAGGAUGAGUCUGCUCAUUCGUUUGGCAUUACAAGUGCUGCUGGGCCAAUUGAAGUCACUAGAAAUGAUGCUGGGACAAUUAUAGACCAUGAAAAUGUUGCUGAACCGACUGGAGGUAUUGACUUGAACAAGACCCCACCACCAAAGGCUAAGAGGAAAAAGCACAGGCCAAAGGUCCUGAAACCAUCAAAGCCUCCUAAGCCUGCAACUCCAAAGCCUUCCAAGGCAAAGGAGGAAAAACCAUCUGGUAAAAGAAAGUAUGUCCGUAAGAAUAUGCCAGCAGGCCAACCUCCCUCAGAACAGAUUGCUGAGUCACAUCGCAAAGCUACCCUGAAACCCGCUAAGCGGUCUUUGAACUUUGAGGGGGAAGUUCCACAAGAGAACACACAUCCUGGAUCCCAAGCUCAAGUGGUAUCUUGUGAUCCCAAGGACUAUCAACCAUCCAUGCCUUCUACCGGUCAAAGAAAUGUCCAAAGCCAGUUGACAUGCCAUUUGGAUUUUACCACCAGUUCAAUGUACAGUUCAGCCAAUCAGAUGGCUGAUACACAGCUAUUGCCUGCAGAUAAUAUGAAAACAUCAAUUUACAGUUCAGCCAAUCAGAUGGCUAAUGCACAGUUUUUGCCUGCACAUAAUAUGCCAAAAGGAGUAUUAUUUGACCUCAAUAGUUCGACGAAUCAGAUACAGAAUGAGUAUGCUAAUUUUUUGGAUGGGCCUGCGCAAUUUUUUCAGUCUGGAAUAACAGAAACAUUACAAACAAAUCCUUUGCUAGAGCUCUGUGCUGGCAUGCCAGAUAAAAGUUUACCUGAUCUCAACAGUUCAAUCACUCUAAUGCAGGGCAUGCCAACUAAUUUUACUGAAUACUUGCUUUCAUCGUCACAAGCUUCUGUAAGAGAAACACAUAUGGGCAAACAGAUGCCUAAUUGUCAAAGAAUGCCAGAAAAUCCAGUUACACCUGCUCAGUGUUUUGAAGGGGUUGCAACGAGGGAAAACUUCAAUCUUAAUUCUUGUUUAAGAGAAGGAGGGGUAACCAACCAAAUAUGUCAUGGCUACAGAUCGACACAAAGCCCAAUCCCACCUCCCAAGCAAAUUGAAGGGCAUUCUGCAAUGGAAAAUUUGAAUGGGCUUGGAACAAUAAGUGACUACUUAAAGUUUACCACCAGUCCUAGUCCUUACAGGCAAACAGGUGGUGCACUUGGACUUCAUGGUUCACACAGCUCGUCACAUGUGCAUGCACUGGACACCAGAGAACACAAUGCUUCCAAUGGUGCCCAUAUUCCACUAGGUAUGAAUCUUGACCAGCAGAGGAAUGGAUGGGCAUCUGUAGAUGCGUGCCAUGCUGCACCCUCUCAGGGGUCAUAUUUUCCUGAAACCUACAAAAGAAUGAGAACAGAUAAUUAUAGUAAAUGCCUGAAUGGAGCUGUGGGCAACACAUCCACCCCAACUAUGUAUUUGUCAAACAAUCGGAAUACAAAUGUGGUUUCAGCUAUCAACUCUAAUGUGUUUACCCUAGCUGAUGCUCAAAGACUGAUAGCCCGUGAGAAAUCACGAGCUUCCCGAGGAAUGAUUAGUUUUGGAGGAUCAGGAUGCAAUAUGGUUAAAAGACCGGAAAUGAUCGAAGAACAUUAUAGACCUGCUAUCCGUGGCACUGCAUGCAGUGAUUCUGUUGAAGCACCUGAUAAACAUUUCAGACACAUAACAGAUAAAAUUACACAGGUGCCUAGUAAUAAUCCAAACACCUUGCAAAAUCAAAACUGUAGUCCGAGAAUUGGAAGUCAUCAACCACAGUUUUGGGAAGGCAACACGAUUGAAGUGUCAGAUUUGCCUGUUGAACAGCAUAAUCAGAGCACUGCCCCUCAGGAUGAUACUCGAAAUAAUUUCUGCAUUGGUCCUUCCGACGAGCUUGGCAGAAGCAUCAAUGGUGAAAUUUCUAGGUUCCCUGUCACUCCAACAGGCCAAUCAACAGGUAACAACACUAUGAAAAAGUUUGGUUUCCAACUGGAGACUUCUGGAGAAGUUAUUAUGCCCCUUACCAGUCCAAGAAAUUCAUCACCAGGUACUGAUGUUCUGAGAAAUGAGAAUCAUCAAGUGGAGGUUUGUGGAGAAACUACUGUAGCUAAACCUAGUGAGAAGCGAAAACCAGGACGACCCAGAAAAGAGAUAAAACCUGGUGAGAAUCCAAAGCCUAGAGGUCGUCCAAGGAAGCAAAAGGUGGUUGGUGCAGAACUUGCAUCCAAAGGUAGCCAUACUGAUCCAUGGCCAAUUGAGGAUAUUUCUGUUAUCUCUGGACCUCAUGCGGGAGUGUCUCCUGGUUCCGAAGGGAUUAAUACGGAACGAAGUGGAGAAAGUUCUCCUGGAGCUAUAGCACCUCCAGUGGAUCCUUUGGAUCUCAUAAUUCAAAAGAUAAAAGUCUUAGACAUAAACAAAUCAGAUGACACCGGGUCAGCUGAGCCGCAUGGUGCUCUUGUCCCUUACAAAGGAGAAUUUGGUGCAAUUAUUCCAUAUGAGGGGAAAGGGAAAAGAAAAUAUGCCCGGGCCAAAGUGAACCUUGAUCCAGUGACUGCUCUAAUGUGGAAGUUAUUGAUGGAGCCAGAUAUGGUUGAUGGUUCCGAAGGGAUGGAUAAGGACAAAGAGAAAUGGCUUGAAGAAGAAAGGAGAAUAUUCCGAGGACGUAUUGAUUCGUUCAUUGCUCGCAUGCAUCUAGUUCAAGGAGAUCGCCGUUUCUCUCCCUGGAAAGGAUCAGUUGUGGAUUCAGUAGUGGGUGUUUUUCUCACCCAGAAUGUUUCAGACCAUCUUUCCAGCUCUGCGUUUAUGGCUCUUGCUGCAAAAUUUCCUGCAAAGCCAGAAGUCUCUAAAAUAUCUGCAGAUAGGAUGUUUCACACAGCAUCAGAGAACGUUGGUUGUUCUGGAUUGUUUGGUGAUUCUGUCAAAUUGCCGGGCGGUAUUCUUGUUGAAGAGGGAAGUAACACAACAGGCUCCUUAGUUACAACAGAAGAAAAGGAAGGAAGCAACAGUUCUGGGUUGUUUGGAAAUUCUCCUGGAGAUGGAGUAGACUGUACAGCAGGGGUUUAUUAUAAUUCUUAUGGGACACUGCCGGUUAGGCUGCAUGAGGGCAAGCCACCGGCUGUGGGGACUGAAAGCGUUGUUGAAGUCGAAGAUGGGGCACUGGAGGACGUUGUUUCAUCACAGAACUCUGCUAUUUCAUCUCAAAGUUCCCCUGAUUAUCUGUUUCACAUGACUGAUCAUAUGUUCCCAAGCACAUUGCUAAAUUUUACAGCAGAAGACUUUGUUGGCAGAAAUAUGGCCAAUGGUACAAGCAAUUCAACCACAUACACAGAACUUCUAAAGAUGCAAGAGCUAAAGAGCAAGCCUAAUGAAAAGGAAUAUGAUGGAGUUCCAAUACAAUGUACAAACAGGGGUUCAAUCCCCAGUGAAGUACAUAACCUUAACAGCAAGACUCAACCUCUUCAAGCUUCUGGCUCUUAUCACCAGAAUGGCCGAGCUCAUCUCCCAGAUAUAACAUUUUCCAAUGACUUAGAGCACUCAGUAUACACUGGCCUUAAUAGAACAUAUGAUUCCAGGGUCACACCAGCUGAGAUCAGAUAUGAUUGUUCUUUAUCUUCUCCUGGAAUUGACAGUGAAAAUAGAUCUCAAACAACUGAUUCUUUAACUGCUCUUCUAUACGGUAUAGAUGGAUCCUUAAGUCAGGACAAAAUCCCUUUCCCUUCCAUGGCGACGCAAGGAGCUGACUCGAUUUCAACAUUAAUGGAUAAAUAUUUUCAUCCAUCAAGUUCAGAGACGGCGUCAUUUGCUAGGGAGCAAUUGUCCUGUGAAAAUAAUCUUCAAAGAAAUGACGUUGUAGCUGCAUUUGUGAAACAGCAUGAAACUUUGAAUCUGCAAGAGGAAUGUACUGCCAGAGCAAAGCAAAUUGGAGGUGAAAAUUAUCAGUCAGAAUGUAGCCAACAGUAUGGCAAUGUUGGACUUUCAUCAAACAUGGAUGGGAGUCAUUGUUCCUCAAACUUGUAUCAAAAUCAAAAAGCAAAUUCUGAACUCCUAGAGAGGAUUGCUUCAGACUCAAUAGAGAAACCCAAAGAUACUAAUAAGGCUUUACCUGAAGUUCCUGCUGACAGAUCAAAAGCAAAGAAGGCAAGGGCUGGUAAAAAGAGAACAUAUGAUUGGGAUAUUUUAAGAAAAGAAGUUCUUGCUAGUCGAGGAAACGAAGGAAGAGGUGAGAAUGCAAAGGAUGCACUUGAUUGGGAAACAAUAAGGCAAAUAGAUGUGAAGGAAAUAUCUAACACAAUUAGAGAGCGAGGAAUGAACAACAUGCUCUCAGAGCGGAUACAAGAUUUUCUAAACCGGGUGGUGAGAGACCAUGGGAGCAUUGACCUUGAAUGGUUGCGAUAUGUCGAUCCAGACAAAGCAAAGGAGUACCUCUUAAGCAUUAGAGGUCUUGGACUGAAAAGUGUAGAGUGUGUGCGUCUUUUGACACUCCAUCAUAUGGCUUUCCCUGUGGACACAAAUGUUGGUAGGAUUUGUGUGAGGCUGGGAUGGGUGCCACUUCAACCCCUACCUGAGUCUCUUCAGUUGCAUCUGUUGGAGCUGUAUCCAAUGCUGGAGAACAUACAGAAAUACCUCUGGCCUCGAUUAUGCAAGCUUGAUCAACGGACAUUGUACGAGCUUCACUAUCAAAUGAUAACGUUUGGAAAGGUAUUUUGUACAAAAAGUAAGCCAAAUUGCAAUGCAUGCCCAAUGAGAGCUGAAUGCAAGCACUUUGCAAGUGCAUUUGCAAGUGCUAGACUUGCUCUUCCUGGACCUGAAGAGAAGAGUUUGGUUACGUCAGGAAACCCAAUUGCUUCAGGGAGCUGCCAGCAGCCAUACAUAAGUUCUAUGCGUUUAAAUCAACUUGACUGGAAUGCAAAUGCCCAUGACCAUAUUCUGGACAAUCGCCAGCCAAUCAUUGAGGAGCCAGCAAGUCCGGAACCAGAACCAGAGACUGCAGAGAUGAGAGAGAGUGCCAUAGAGGAUAUUUUUCUUGAUGAUCCUGAAGAAAUUCCUACAAUCAAGCUUAAUUUCGAGGAGUUUGCACAGAAUCUCAAGAAUUAUAUGCAAGUCAAUAACAUUGAAAUGGAAGAUGCUGAUAUGUCAAGUGCCUUGGUUGCCAUAACUCCGGAAGCUGCAUCUAUCCCGACUCCUAGGCUCAAGAAUGUUAGUCGCCUAAGAACAGAGCAUCAAGUCUAUGAACUGCCGGACUCACAUCCACUUCUGGAAGGAUACGACCAAAGAGAGCCUGAUGAUCCUUGCCCGUAUCUACUCUCUAUAUGGACCCCAGGUGAAACAGCUCAGUCAAUUGAUGCACCCAAGACAGCAUGCAACUCCAAUGAGAGCGGUAAACUAUGUGACAGCAGUGCAUGCUUCAGUUGCAACAGUAUGCGAGAGGCGCAGGCUCAAACAGUCAGAGGAACAAUUUUGGUACCGUGUCGAACAGCUAUGAGAGGAAGCUUUCCACUUAAUGGGACAUAUUUCCAAGUAAAUGAGGUAUUUGCUGAUCACGACUCAAGCCGAAACCCAGUUGAUGUUCCGAGGAGAUGGAUAUGGGACCUCCCUAGGAGAACAGUUUACUUCGGAACUUCAGUUCCUUCAAUCUUUAAAGGUUUAACAACUGAAGACAUACAGCAGUGCUUCUGGAGAGGAUUUGUUUGUGUGAGGGGCUUUGAUAGGACAUCAAGAGCACCAAGACCACUGUACGCAAGGCUUCACUUUCCAGCAAGCAAAGUUACCAGGAAUAAAAAGGGUGCAGCUUCUGCAGGCACAGAUGAUGCAUAG